rnacentral:tRNA from 1 species
GCUGGUGUAGCUCAGCUGGCUAGAGCAGCUGAUUUGUAAUCAGCAGGUCGGGGGUUCGAGUCCCUUCACCAGCU